rnacentral:rRNA from 1 species
AUACGGAGGAUGCAAGCGUUAUCCGGAUUUAUUGGGUUUAAAGGGUGCGUAGGCGGGAUUUUAAGCGUGAGGUGAAAUGCCACGGCUCAACCGUGGAACUGCCUCGCGAACUGGGGUUCUUGAAUGCCCCUGCCGUGGGAGGAAUGUGUGGUGUAGCGGUGAAAUGCAUAGAGAUCACACAGAACACCGAUUGCGAAGGCAUCUCACGAAGGGGUGAUUGACGCUGAGGCACGAAAGCGUGGGGAUCAAACAGGAUUAGAUACCCUGGUAGUCCACGCAGUAAACGAUGAUAACUAACCGCUGGGGAGCGAUUUUCAGUGGCCAAGCGAAAGCGAUAAGUUAUCCACCUGGGGAGUACGACCGCAAGGUUGAAACUCAAAGGAAUUGACGGGG